rnacentral:rRNA from 1 species
GACGAACGCUGGCGGCGUGCCUAACACAUGCAAGUCGAACGAAGCUCCUUUGCUUGAGUUUUCGGACAAGAGGAAAGGAUGACUUAGUGGCGGACGGGUGAGUAAUACAUGAGCAACCUGCCCUUCAGAGGGGGACAACAGUUGGAAACGACUGCUAAUACCGCAUGAAGUAACGCGAUGGCAUCAUCAUGUUACCAAAGAUUUAUCGCUGAGGGAUGGGCUCAUGUCUGAUUAGCUAGUUGGUGAGGUAACGGCUCACCAAGGCUGCGAUCAGUAGCCGGGUUGAGAGACUGAACGGCCACAUUGGGACUGAGAUACGGCCCAGACUCCUACGGGAGGCAGCAGUGGGGAAUAUUGGGCAAUGGGGGAAACCCUGACCCAGCAACGCCGCGUGAAGGAAGAAGGCUUUCGGGUUGUAAACUUCUUUUGUCAGGGACGAAACAAAUGACGGUACCUGAAGAAUAAGCUCCGGCUAACUACGUGCCAGCCGCCGCCGUAAAAC